rnacentral:rRNA from 1 species
GACGAACGCUGGCGGCGUGCUUAACACAUGCAAGUCGAACGAAGAGCGACGGAAGCUUGCUUCUAUCAAUCUUAGUGGCGAACGGGUGAGUAACGCGUAAUCAACCUGCCCUUCAGAGGGGGACAACAGUUGGAAACGACUGCUAAUACCGCAUACGAUCUAAUCUCGGCAUCGAGGAUGGAUGAAAGGUGGCCUCUACAUGUAAGCUAUCACUGAAGGAGGGGAUUGCGUCUGAUUAGCUAGUUGGAGGGGUAACGGCCCACCAAGGCGAUGAUCAGUAGCCGGUCUGAGAGGAUGAACGGCCACAUUGGGACUGAGACACGGCCCAGACUCCUACGGGAGGCAGCAGUGGGGAAUCUUCCGCAAUGGACGAAAGUCUGACGGAGCAACGCCGCGUGAGUGAUGACGGCCGUCGGGUUGUAAAGCUCUGUUAAUCGGGACGAAAGGCCUUCUUGCGAAUAGUGAGAAGGAUUGACGGUACCGGAAUAGAAAGCCACGGCUAACUACGUG